AUCCAACUGACGAGUCCAAACUAGGACGAAAUGCGCAUCCUGGAU
rnacentral:hammerhead_ribozyme from 1 species